rnacentral:rRNA from 1 species
UACGGGGGGGGCAAGCGUUGUUCGGAUUUACUGGGCGUAAAGGGCGCGUAGGCGGUCAGCACAAGUCAGUUGUGAAAUCUCCGAGCUUAACUCGGAAAGGUCAACUGAUACUGUGCGACUAGAGUGCGGAAGGGGCAACUGGAAUUCUUGGUGUAGCGGUGAAAUGCGUAGAUAUCAAGAGGAACACCUGCGGCGAAGGCGGGUUGCUGGGCCGACACUGACGCUGAGGCGCGAAAGCGUGGGGAGCGAACAGG